AACGAACGCUGGCGGCAUGCUUAACACAUGCAAGUCGAACGGAACGGCCCGGCUUAUGUGCGGUGGUCGGCUUGCGACGGGGUAAGUUGCCCGUGGGUAACCUGUAAUUCACUGUGGGAUAACUUCAGACCACUGAAGCUAUUCCCGGCUAGGAGCUCCUGCUGCAGGGUGGGGGUUGGUAAGUUUCGCCGGUUGGGAGUGGACUCGCGGCUUAUCAGGUUGUUGGUUGGGUAGUGGCUUACCAAGGCUUUGACGGGUAGCCGGCCUGGUAGGGUGACCGGCCACAUUGGGCUUGGGAUACGGCCCAGCCUCCUACGGGAGGCAGCAGUGGGGAAGAGUGCACAAGGGGCUGAGGCCUGACGCAGCAACGCCGCGUGCGGGAAGACGUCCUUCGGGUUGGAUUCCGCUUUCGCCUGUGACGAAGCGUUAGUGACGGUAAUGGGUAAAGAAGCACCGGCUAACUACGUG
rnacentral:rRNA from 1 species